CGUAUCUUAGUGGCGGACGGGUGGAGUAACGCGUGGGUAACCUGCCUUACACUGGGGGAUAACACUUAGAAAUAGGUGCUAAUACCGCAUAACAGUAGGAGACGCAUGUCUUUUACUUGAAAACUCCGGUGGUGUAAGAUGGACCCGCGUCUGAUUAGCUUGUUGGCGGGGUAACGGCUCACCAAGGCAACGAUCAGUAGCCGGCCUGAGAGGGUGAACGGCCACAUUGGGACUGAGACACGGCCCAAACUCCUACGGGAGGCAGCAG
rnacentral:rRNA from 1 species